GACGAACGCUGGCGGCGUGCCUAAUACAUGCAAGUUGAGCGCUGAAGGUUGGUACUUGUACCAACUGGAUGAGCAGCGAACGGGUGAGUAACGCGUGGGGAAUCUGCCUUUGAGCGGGGGACAACAUUUGGAAACGAAUGCUAAUACCGCAUAAAAACUUUAAACACAAGUUUUAAGUUUGAAAGAUGCAAUUGCAUCACUCAAAGAUGAUCCCGCGUUGUAUUAGUUAGUUGGUGAGGUAAAGGCUCACCAAGGCGAUGAUACAUAGCCGACCUGAGAGGGUGAUCGGCCACAUUGGGACUGAGACACGGCCCAAACUCCUACGGGAGGCAGCAGUAGGGAAUCUUCGGCAAUGGACGAAAGUCUGACCGAGCAACGCCGCGUGAGUGAAGAAGGUUUUCGGAUCGUAAAACUCGGUUGGUAGAGAAGAACGUUGGUGAGAGUGGAAAGCUCAUCAAGUGACGGUAACUACCCAGAAAGGGACGGCUAACUACGUG
rnacentral:rRNA from 1 species